rnacentral:rRNA from 1 species
GAUGAACGCUGGCGGCGGGCCUAAUACAUGCAAGUUGAGCGAACAGAUGAGGAGCUUGCUCCGCUGACGUUAGCGGCGGACGGGUGAGUAACACGUGUAUAACCUACCUAUAAGACUGGGAUAACUUCGGGAAACCGGAUCUAAUACCGGAUAAUAUAUUGAACCGCAUGGUUCAAUAGUGAAAGACUGAUUUGCUGACACUUAUAGAUGGAUCCGCGCCGCAUUAGCUAGUUGGUAAGGUAACGGCUUACCAAGGCAACGAUGCGUAGCCGAACUGAGAGGGUGAUCGGCCACACUGGAACUGAGACACGGUCCAGACUCCUACGGGAGGCAGCAGUAGGGAAUAUUCCGCAAUGGGCGAAAGCCUGACGCAGCCACGCCGCGUGAGUGAUGAAGGUCUUCGGAUCGUAAAACUCUUUUAUUAGGGAAGAACAAAUGUGUAAGUAACUAUGCACGUCUUGACGGUACCUACUCAGAAAGCCCCGGCUAACUACGUG